rnacentral:rRNA from 1 species
AUAUGGACCUCGGAUCAGGUAGGGA